UCAACUUGGUGAGUACUGUGUGAAUUUUAGAAGAUGUGAUUAGGAAGUUUGUUCAUUAGGAAUAUAUACAUUUUGCACCUUUCUUCCCCAUGCAAUUUGGUUUAGGUAAACUGUGGAAAGAGAGUUUCUGGGGUGCCAGUUGAGUUGGUCUCCCCUGUGUGAGACACCCAUGGGGAGCCAUGGGCGGCCUCUGAGGAGAAAAGUCUCCUUAUUGCCUUCAUGCCUUUAUGCCCCGAGAGCAUAACUGCUCAGCGGCAUGCCACAGGUUGCUCAGGGAGAUAACACUCCCUUGAAGCAGUGGAGUAUAAUCAAACAUCUUGGCUCCUCCUGAAACCCACUCCCACCCAUUUCAGUCUGGAUAAGUUAAAGAUCUUAAGUAGUUUAGACAUACACCUUUGCUCAAGGAAAUUCACAGAAACUGCCACUGCUAUACAUCUUAUUGAAUGACUCACGAGUUCUCCUUCACUGAUUAAUCCUUUUCCUCAUUCCCUCCUCGCCCUCCCAUCUGCCCUAAGAACGAAGAGCUUGUAAACCAAUAAACUGGGCGGAGCCCGAGAGCUCUGGGCCUUCAGCAAGCCUCAGCUGCUCCCAUCCCCUGGACUCACCUUUUAAAGCUUAUUCUGUCUCUUUCUAACUCCUUUGUCUCUGCCGGACUCCGGGUACCCUCUGGGUGGUGUGGGGCUGGUUUCCCCCAACAGUAAACAAGAUGAGUCUUCUUGGAAGAAGAAACUGAGUUUAACCCUGAAUACUUGACCUACAAGGCUUGGUUGCUGGGCUAAUUCAUAGUGAAGAGGAUCACGCUAUUCAACGUACAGACACAGGUUCCAAGGCAGCUGAAGGCACCUAUUGCCCAGUGAAAUGGAUUUUCCUGGGGAACAGGCUUCUUCUCCUUGUGUUCCUUGGUGUCCUACGAACUUGGCAUAUUCAGGCACAGGUGCUCAGCAAACCCUUGAGGCCUAACUCAGGGUAAUAAGAGGCCACCAGUACCCCAGGAGAGCCAGGCUGUGCCCAACUGAGGCCAUUACUUUUCUGUGGCUCAACUAAAUUACAUUUAUUGACCCGUACUCUUUUCAAGGUGAAGUACUAUGGAUUGUCAAAGGCCAUUGGGAUAAAUUUUUUUAUUUUGUCAUGUCUGAGCCCAUGUACAUGCUUAUUUUUUUUUUUUAAAAGAAGAAGUUUGGUCAAGAAGAGAUAAAAUAACUGCACGAACACCAUAUGUUAUCUAUUCUAAGCAUAUUUUUUCUCCACAAUUUAAGGUUUCUGAAAUCAAGAUAAGUCAUAAUAUAAAUGUAUACAGCUAAAAGGAAUAGGGUGUUUUUCUCCCAAAAUAUCAUUAUUAAAAUGAUCUGCUUUUUAAAAUUCAGUGGUGUCUUCUGUUGAUAGAGAUGUGAAUUAGUACACUAUUAUGGAAAAACAGUAUGAAGGUUCCUAAAAGAAUUAAAAAUAAAACUACCAUUUGAUCCAGCAAUCCUACUACUGGGCAUAUAUCCAAAGAAAAUUACAUGUCGAAAGGAUAUCUGCACUCUUAUGUUGAUUGCAGCAUUAUUCACAAUAGCCAAGAUAUGGAAGCA
rnacentral:lncRNA from 1 species